CCAUUGAAUUCCUUAUCUGCUUUUAGAUGGACCAAAGACUAGAACCCCCUUAACAGAUACUCAGUUGGUUAUCCUUCUGGGAAACUGGAGAGAAUGGACAAAAAUGGCUAUUUCCAGACUGAGAUGCAGCCUGCUGUGCCUUUGCGGAGGCAACUUUUUGCUCACCCAGUGGUCUUCAAUUCUCAGCAGGCCACCAAGCGGCCUUUCCUCUGCUGCUCACUACUGCACCAAUUCCUGGGUUCAGAAUGGCUGCCUUCUGGAUCCCUGAGCUGACCCACUGUCCAGGCAGGCUUCUGGCUGGGGCCUGUGCACAGUUGGGAUGGUAUUUAGGUUGCCUCUGG
rnacentral:lncRNA from 1 species